UACGUAGGGUGCAAGCGUUGUCCGGAAUUAUUGGGCGUAAAGAGCUCGUAGGCGGUCUGUCGCGUCGGCUGUGAAAACUCGAGGCUCAACCUCGAGACGUCGGUUGAAACCGCUUGGCUAGAGUCCGGAAGAGGAGAGUGGAAUUCCCGGUGUAGCGGUGAAAUGCGCAGAUAUCGGGAAGAACACCCGUGGCGAAGGCGGCUCUCUGGGACGGUACUGACGCUGAGACGCGAAAGCGUGGGGAGCGAACAGG
rnacentral:rRNA from 1 species